rnacentral:lncRNA from 1 species
CAGCGGGCGGCGGGACCCGGGACCCAGCUUGGCGACGGCGAUCUCGACGCGGGCCCCCAGGAUCUCCCGGCGCCCCACCUCUGGAGCAGCCCCUGCCGCCAGCGUCAGGUCCACCCCGGAAUCCCAGGGACUCUCGGCGCCGAACGGACCCGGGCCGGGUGCAACGGGGUCCCCGGACUGGAGAAGACGCGGGUGGCACCGUGCGAGCUCCAGGAGCCCCGGGUCCACUGCGAGGCCUCGGGGGGCGCAGACCUGCAGAGACUGCGGCCAACGGGAAGAAUAAAGGGAUUAUAGUCCACCCAAUUCACAGACUUCUGAGACUCAGACACGAGGAGAGAUAGAGAACCGCCAAUCUCUAAAUCAACAAGCAAAGGAGGUGCCAAGCCUGUUUGUCUUCAUUGUGACACUGGAGGUGGCUGUUGGAGGAAGGGAGGAGAGUAAAUGAAGAGAAAGAACUGGAAUAACCCCUUGCAGAAAAAAAAAAAAA